rnacentral:rRNA from 1 species
UAGGGGAUCUUCCACAAUGGGCGAAAGCCUGAUGGAGCAACGCCGCGUGUGUGAUGAAGGGUUUCGGCUCGUAAAACACUGUUGUAAGAGAAGAAUGACAUUGAGAGUAACUGUUCAAUGUGUGACGGUAUCUUACCAGAAAGGAACGGCUAAAUACGUGCCAG